UAAUUCCUGCGGUGUUCGAUAAAUGCGGAUAAUAUUAACCCUAUGUCAAUUUAAAGGGAGUUCGGGCUUCUGUGACGGAUUGCAGACCUCCCGCUUUUGCGGACGAAGGGAGCGUGAACUCAUGGAGAGAACACCCACCUGCCUAAAAGCAGGUUUUUAUUACCGCAUCCGGCAUUGUGGGAAUUAA
rnacentral:other from 1 species